rnacentral:tRNA from 1 species
UGCCGGGUCGUUCAACGGUAGGACGCAUGGCUCUGGACCAUGUUACGAGGGUUCAAAUCCUUCUCCGGCAACCA